AAGUGACCUUUUCGUAGCGGGUUGAGAGAAGCUCGUGAGGCAUUUAAGCCCUGAACAUUGCCUGACAGGCAGCCAUGUAUCCCAGGCUGCGUACAGCCCCAAGACCAGAGUCAAUCGCAUGCAACGAACAACAAGCCAUAUUCAAACAGAGACAGAAAGCUGAAGCCUCGGGGAUGGAUCGAAAUGUACACAAUGUGUACCUGGAGGAAAAUGGGAAUCUUCCCUGAUGAGACAUGUCUCUGCCAGUUCUGUGAUGGGUGGUUCAGACCAUUGCAUCGGAAUCCUACCGCAAGCUCUGAACCUUUUCACCGGAUCAUCGCAGCUAGCUAGCUGUAAUCCGAAUGGCUACAGUCCCAAAGCAAGCACCAGUUAGCCUGGAGCUAGGCCCAUCUCCCGGCUAGCCAAAGAGGUACACCAGCCAAUUCUUGAGCUACAAUACCUCUUUUGCCAAUUGGCCUUGACCAUUUACUGCCGACCCGGAGCCCCUCUGAUCCAUCACGACUGGUCUGCCGACGUAACCGUCUGAGGGGGUUUCAACAGGCUCUUCCAUUGCGAUGUCACCGGAGGCCCAUCUGCUUGCCCCGGCCCGUUAGCUGUCUGAAUCGCCGUGUCUCCAGCUCGCCUAACGUAUUAGCGACUACUCAACCCAGCACCACUCCCAUUCCCCAGACGCUCUCAUUUGUUGACUUCUGUAACUGCAAAAACCUUGGUUUCAUGCAUGUUAACAUUAGAAGCCUCCUCGCUAAGUUUGUUUUAUUCACUGCUUUAGUACACUCCAACAACCCUGAUGUCUUAGCUGUGUCUGAAUCCUGGCUUAGGAAGGCCACCAAAAAUCCUGAAAUUUCCAUGCCAACUACAACAUGCAGAGUUCUGCAGAGUUCUGUCAUAACCUCCAGGUCUGCCCAAACAGUUCGAGCUUCUACUUUUAAAAAUCCACCUUCUCAGAAACAAGUCUCUCACCAUUGCCGCUUGUUAUAGACCCCCCUCGGCCCCCAGCUGUGCCAUGGACACCAUAUGUGAAUUGAUUGCCCCCCAUCUAUCUUCAGAGUUCGUACUGUUAGGUGACCUAAACUUUGAUAUGCUUAAACCUAAAUUCCGGACAUCCUACAAUCUAAGCUAGAUGCCCUCAAUCUCACAAAUGAUCAAGGAACCUACCAGGUACAACCCUAAAUCCGUAACCAUGGGCACCCUCUUAGAUAUCAACCUGACCAACUUCCCCUCUAAAUACACCACUGCUGUCUUCAACUAGGAUCUCAGCGAUCACUGCCUCAUUGCCUGCGUCCGUAAUGGGUGCGCGGUCAAACAACCACCCCUCAUCACUGUCAAAUGCUCCCUAAAACACUUCAGCCAGCAUGCCUUUCUAAUCGACAUGGCCUGGGUGUCCUGGAAGGAUAUUGACCUCAUCCUGUCAUUAGAGGAUGCCUGGUUGCUCUUUAAACACACUUUCCUCGCCAUCUUAAAUAAGCAUGCCCCAUUCAAAAAACGUAGAACUAAGAACAGAUACAGCCCUUGGUUCACCCCAGACUUGACUGCCCUUGACCAGCAUAAAAACAUCCUUUGGUGCACUGUAUUAGCAUGGAAUAGCCCGCGAUAUGCAACUUUCAGUGAAGUCAGGAACCAACAUACACAGUCAGUUAGGAAAGCUAAGGCUAGCUUUUUCAAACAGAAAUUUGCAUCCUGUAGCACUAAUUCCAAAGGUUUUGGGACACUGUAAAGUCCAUGGAGAACAAGAGCACCUCCUCCCAGCUGCCCACUGCACUGAGGAUAGGAAACACUGUCACCACCAAUAAUUCUGCCAUAAUCGAUCUUUUCAAGAACCAUUUUUCUACUGCUGGCCAUGCUUUCCACCUGGCUACCCCUACCCCAGCCAACAGCUCUGCACCCCCUGCAGAAACUUGCCCAAGCCCCCAUCUCCCCGCUUCUCCUUCACCCAAAUCCAGACAGCUGAUGUUCUGAAACAGCUGCAAAAUCUGGAUCCCUACAAAUCAGCUGGGCUAGACAACCCUGGACCCUCUCUUUCUAAAAUUAUCCACCAAAAUUGUUGCAACAUGUAUUACCAGCCUGUUCAACCUCUCUUUCGUAUCAUCUGAGAUCCACAAAGAUUGGAAAGCUGCCGCGGUCAUCCCCCUGUUCAAAGGGGGAGAAACUCUAGACCCAAACUGUUAUAGAGCUAUAUCUAUCCUACCCUGCCCUUCUAGAAUCUUCGAAAGCCAAGUUAACAAACAGAUCACCGACCAUUUCAAAUCCCACCAUACCACGAUAUCGAUAUCAUAACCGCCAUUGAUAAAAGACAGUACUGAGAAGCUGUAUUCAUCGGCCUGGCCAAGCCUUUCGACUCUGCCGAUAAGAAUGCGGUGAUUGACAGACUCAGUAGCCUUGGUUUCUCAAAUGACUACCUCGCCUGGUUCACCAACUACUUCUCAGAUAGAGUUCAGUGUGUCAAAUCGGAGGGCCUGCUGUCCAGACCUAUGGCAGUCUAUGGGGGUGAUACAGGGCUCAAUUCUCGGGCUGACUCUUUUCUCUGUAUAUAUCAAUAAUGUCGCUCUUGCUGCUUGUGAUUCUCUGAUCCACCUCUACGCAGAAAACACCAUUCUGUAUACAUCUGACCCUUCUUUGGACACUGUGUUAACAAACUUCCAAACGAGCUUCAAUGACAUACAACACUCCUACCGUGGCCUCCAACUGCUUUUAAAUGCUAGUAAAACUAAAUGCAUGCUCUUCAACAGAUUGUUGCCCGCACCCGCCUGCCCGACUAGCAUCACUACUCUGGACGGUUCUGACAACGGUUCUGACAACUUCACAAACCUAGGUAUCUGGUUAGAUUGUAAACUCUCCUUCCAGACUCACAUUGGGCAUCUCCAAUCCAAAAUGUAAUCUAGAAUCGUCUUCCUAUUUCGCAACAAAGCCUCCUUCACUCAUGCUGCCAAACAUACCCUUGUAAAACUGACUAUCGUAUCAAUCCUUGACUUCGGCGAUGUCAUUUACAAAAUUGCCCCCAACACUCUACUCAGCAAACUGGAUGUUGUCUAUCACAGUGCCAUCCGUUUUGUCACCAAAGCCCCAUAUAGUACCCACCACUGUGACCUGUAUGCUCUUGUUGGCUGGCCCUCGCUACAUAUUCGUCGCCAAACCCACUGGCUCCAGGUCAUCUAUAAAUCUUUGCUAGAUAAAGCCCCGCCUUAUCUCAGCUCACUGGUCACCAUAGCAACACCCACCCGUAACACGUGCUCCAGCAGGUAUAUUUCACUGGUCCUCCCCAAAUCCAACACUUUGGGGAUGACUUUCCUUCCAGUUCUCUGCUGGCAAUGACUGGAAUUAAUUGCAAAAAUCACUGAAGCUGGAGUCUUAUAUCUCCCUCUAACUUUAAGCAUCAGCUGUCAGAGCAGCUGAUCGAUCACUGUACCUGUCACUGUACCUGUACACAGCCAAUCUGUAAAUAGCACACUCAACUACCAUAUUGUUAUUUAUCUUCUUGCUCUUUUGCACCCCAGUAUCUUUACUUGCGCAUCAUCAUCUGCACAUCUAUCACCCCAGUGUUGAUGCUAAAUUGUAAUUGUUUUGCUUCUAUGGCCUAUUUAUUGCCUUACCUCCCUACUCUUCUACAUUUGCACACACUGUACAUAGAUUUUUCUAUUGUGUUAUUGACUCUACGUUUGUUUGUAACUCUGUUGUUUUUGUCGCACUGCUUUCCUUUAUCUUGGCCAGGUCGCAGUUGUAAAUGAGAACUUGUUCUCAACUGGCCUACCUGGUUAAAUAAAGGUGAAAUAAAAAAAUGAAGACCAUUAGUCGGUUGAUGCAGUCAUUUUGAGCGAGGAUGGAAGCCCCUCACGAAAGCAUCAAAGAUCUGAUGACGAGGCAAACAAUCUAAUAGAGAGCAUACUGAAGGAAAAGCCUGGUGGAGAGGUUGUCGUCAAGGAGUACUACAAAACUAAAAGCCUGAUUGACUGCACCAGACGAAAGAUGAUCAAUAUUCUUGUUUCGGCGAUGACAGAGUCUCACGGGCAGGAACCAGUAUCCAAGAGCACCUUGAUGCGAUUGACCAGAGCCGCCAACCAUAUCUUCUUGCAGUCGGCACCAGGAAGAGCAGCAUCCAUACAUACUUCAUCAUCCUGGACAAGCAAACCUUGCCGUGCAAGUCAGUGAGCUCUCUUGGUGCCUUCAAUGACCUUUUCAUGACUCACUUUGUUUUUGGUACUGCUUAAAAUACAAUUCUGCGCAACAUGUACACCUUCAUACAGACAACUGUGUAUAACAUAGACAUUGGGAAGGUUAAGGAGGCUCCAAGGGUUGCUGAGCUCAGAGCUAGACUCCUGCUCUAAUGCCGAUUAAAUUAUGAUGAUAUGUUUUGUUUGCCAUGCUAGUCAUGGAAGUAUCAACUUGCUCGUGAUCUCAAGUUGAUGCAUGGAAUGUGCCCUGGUAGAACUCUUAGACUAAAAUAUGGUCAGGUAGAUUUGUGUAUUUGGUACAUUUUCAGGCUUUAGGAAGCAUUUAAACUGGGCACAUUCCGGAGACUGACAAAUUUAGUUAAACGCUAACUUGGAUGCUAAUACAGCAGUUGAUAUCAGCCAAGUAAUGCUGAUUAUCCUUCAAAUUCUAGUUGCAACCAUGUUGUACCAAUUUCUAACAAGAACACACUUGAUAUGUGUGAGUCUGCUAUUGCACAACUGCAGGCUGCAGGUGUAGGUCAGACGACUGUAAAUAGUUGUGUAUCUUCCAUGGAAGAAGCGGUUCAAGAGAUACAGGGUCAAGCUAAAACAACCACUCUUGCAUGUAUAUCGUCAAAAGACAAACUAUCAGAAAAAUUCAACAUUCUUUUCAGAAUAUUAAAAAUCCUUUCACAUUGUUGAAUUCGGUAUCAUAACAAAGUGCUUAUAUCAUAAAAUUAAGAACAGUUCAUCAACCAGUUGAGAAAGUCAUUGGUGUCAGAUUUGACAAAAGAAUAAACAAAACUACUGGAACUUAUGAUCAAAUAGUCCGAACUGAUACAUUGUCUUACAUUCUAAUUCUCCAGGCAUUGCAGUCAAUUUUGAAGAACCCAAACACAAGUGACAUGUUUAACUCAGGGCACAAUUUUAAAGAUGGGAGUUUACUUUGAUUUGUAAGCUGGACUACACAGUGGGGGGGGAAAGUAUUUAGUCAGCCACCAAUUGUGCAAGUUCUCCCACUUAAAAAGAUGAGAGGCCUGUAAUUUUCAUCAUAGGUACACUUCAACUAUGACAGACAAAAUGAGAAAAAAAAAUCCAGAAAAUGUUAAUACAUUUAUUUUGCCCCACUGUAUAUGAAGAGACAUCUUCUUUUCUAAAAAGAGAAAUGCAUAGCAAAUUCAACUGUUUUAUGAUGGGGUGUCAGGUAGCCUAGUGGUUAGAGCAUUGGGCCAGUAACCAAAUGUUUGCUAGAUUGAAUCCCUGAGCUGACAAGGUCAAACGUCUGUCGUUCUGCCCCUGAACAAGGCAGUUAACCCACUGUUCCUAGUCUGUCAUUGUAAAUAAGAAUUUGUUCUUAACUGACUUGCUUAGUUAAAUAUAAAAUGAUGACUUUGAGACUGCUAAUCCAAAAGGUUAUUCGCAAGUUGGGAGGUUUACUUUGAGAAAUUGUACCCCAAAGUUGAAUUCAAUUUAAGUAAAUAUUCCCAUGUGUACUCUUCCAUACCCAGGACCUUAAAACGUAUGGAUUUGAUUCCAUUCUCGAGCCAAUAGUAAGCCAUUUGAAAGUGCUUGAGACAGAGGGUAUUGAAGUUCCCUUCUUCAGUGGUCGUAUACAUGGCAGUAACUGGAGAUAAUCUUGGUAUACAUUGCCUGUUUGGUUUGUGGAAUCAUUUAGUGCUCGUUAUUGUUGCCGUUUUUGCCUCACUGAGAAAGUGGAUUUUCAAACUGUGUUCUCUGAGGAUAACCCAAGAGUGACUUUAUGAAAAAAAAAAACACAUGCACUCAGACCAUUGUCAAACCCAACACUACCUCAUGUGUGCGAUGUGAAGCAUGCUUGCUUAUUGAA